CCUACGGGCGACAGCAGUGAGGAAUAUUGGUCAAUGGGCGCGAGCCUGAACCAGCCAAGUAGCGUGAAGGAUGACUGCCCUACGGGUUGUAAACUUCUUUUAUGAAGGAAUAACGUGAGACACGUGUGCCUUUUUGUAUGUACUUUAUGCAUAAGGAUCGGCUAACUCCGUGCCAGCAGCCGCGGUAAUACGGAGGAGCCGAGCGUUAUCCGGAUUUAUUGGGGUUAACGGGAGCGUAGAUGGGUUGUUAAGUCAGUUGUGAAAGUUUGCGGCUCAACCGUAAAACUGCAAUUGAUACUGGCAGGCUUGAGUACAGUUGAGGGAGGCGGAAUUCGAGGUGUAGCGGUGAAAUGCGUAGAGAUCACGAAGAAUUCCGAUUGCGAAGGCAGCCUACUAAACGGAGACUGACAUUGAGGCGCGAAAGCGUGGGUAUCAAACAGGAUUAGAUACCCUGGUAGUC
rnacentral:rRNA from 1 species